rnacentral:rRNA from 1 species
AUGAGGACAGAACCAGUGCAUUGGGCUAGGGCCUUCUUCCCAUAUGGAUCAAACUGUGAGUCAGUGGAUAACAACCUUUGCGAGUCUUUCAACAAUGCCAUCAUAGAAUCAAGGUUUUACCCCAUAAUAUCACAACAAGAGAUGAUAAGGAAGAAGGUGUAUGCCAGAAUUCAGGAACAGAGAAGAAAAAUAAUGAUAGGAGGAGAGAAGAAGGGGAAGCUCCCAAAGGAAAGAAAUUAA